GACGAACCGUGCGAACGUUGUUCGGAAUCACUGGGCUUAAAGGGCGCGUAGGCGGGCUAUCAAGUCCGGGGUGAAAUCCUCCAGCUCAACUGGAGAACGGCCUCGGAUACUGAUGGCCUCGAGGGGGGUAGGGGCACGCGGAACUGUGGGUGGAGCGGUGAAAUGCGUUGAUAUCCAUAGGAACUCCGGUGGCGAAAGCGGCGUGCUGGAUCCCUUCUGACGCUGAGGCGCGAAAGCCAGGGGAGCGAACGGG
rnacentral:rRNA from 1 species